CCGUGCCCAAGAGAUCGGGAUAACACCUGGAAACAGAUGCUAAUACCGGAUAACAACAGAUGAUGCCUAUCAACUGUUUAAAAGAUGGUUCUGCUAUCACUCUUGGAUGGACCUGCGGUGCAUUAGCUAGUUGGUAAGGCAACGGCUUACCAAGGCAAUGAUGCAUAGCCGAGUUGAGAGACUGAUCGGCCACAUUGGGACUGAGACACGGCCCAAACUCCUACGGGAGGCAGCAGCC
rnacentral:rRNA from 1 species